rnacentral:lncRNA from 1 species
UAGUUAGCAACUAGCUUUAGGUAAUUAUUUACUAAUGAGAACAAACUUUAUAAAUGUGUGCAUAUGCGUCUGUGUUUACUCGUAUCAUACAUGUAUACACAUGUUACCAUAUAGAAGGAAAUGGAUUUAUAUUUGAAUUUGAUAUUAGAAUAUUUGAAGUUCGUUUUUUGUUGUUCCUUCGUCAUUCUUCUGUAUUCAUUCAGCAACCAUGCCCUCAGUCUGAUGAUAACAAGGAUGUUUUCAUAUCCAGUGCUGAUUCAGACUCAACUAAGGGGCAUCUUUUAUCUUAAAUACCCAAAGAUGCCUUUUAAAUUUCAAAGGUUAAAACAUAACUAUUUAGUGUCAUAGUCUAAAGAAGUAUGGUUGUCAGUUGUGACAAUAGAAGUGUUAUUUUUCCUAGUUUAGUAUCAACAUUUUAGAGUAUUAGAUUUGAUGCCUUGUGAACAAAUAAUUUUAUACUUUGCUUUAACUUUUUAAAAGUUAUUCUAUUGGAUGUAUUCCUUGUUAAGAAUACUUAAAAUUGCAUUGUAGACAAAAUGUUUCCAAAAAUUUAAAUGUCCAUAUCUUUUAUAUACACAGCUUAAAAAUCAAAAAUGUAUGCUCUUAGAGAAUUUAUUCUAUUACUUGUGAAUCUUGCUUUAAAAUUAUUUUCCUUAAUAUUUAUUUUACUCUAUUUUGUUAUUUCCUUUGGGUGAGGCAUCUGGUUACUGGUUGUUUUAAUAAGAAUAAAAACAUUUCUGGACUCACUCCUUUUAGAUUUUUUUGUUUAUUUUCUAUAUUUUAAAAAUACUGUUUUACCAAAUAUAAAAUAUUUAGAUUCAUGCCAAAUUAUUAGCUAUUUUUACACUAACUUUCUGUAGUCUUUCUGAACGUUUAUCUGGUAUGGGUAACCAGAUAAAAUACAAAAGCAUGAAUUCUUGUUCUUCAGUGAAAAGAGCUUCUGUAAUGGCAUUGAUAAUAAAUGCCUUUUAUAGCCAAAACCAGGCGUCUCAAUCUUAUGCUUUUAAAGAAAUGUUUAAUUAACCAUUGUUGGUUAAUACCCAAAACAUCAGUGGACAAUGUUGUGCAAUAAUCAUCUUCUGUAGUCAAGAUAUUCAGUGGUUUGUUUUUCCAUAAGCAUGCAAUUGAUCAUAUUUCUGCCAAGGAUGUGCCUUCAACUUUACAAUUAUAGUAUUCUAAAAA